UACGUAGGGGGCAAGCGUUGUUCGGAAUUACUGGGCGUAAAGCGCGCGUAGGCGGUUUGGAAAGUCAGAUGUGAAAGCCCCGGGCUCAACUUGGGAACUGCAUUUGAUACUGCCAGACUAGAGUACAGAAGAGGUGACUGGAAUUCCCAAGUGUAGCGGUGAAAUGCGUAGAUAUUGGGAGGAACACCAGAUGCGAAGGCGGGUCACUGGGCUGAUACUGACGCUGAAGUGCGAAAGCCAGGGGAGCGAACGGGA
rnacentral:rRNA from 1 species